ensembl:misc_RNA 7SK 7SK RNA
GGAUAUGAGGGCAAUCUGGCUGCCACAUUUGUCACCCCAGGGUUGAUUCGACUGAUCUCGCUGGCUAGGUGGGUGUCCCCUUCCUCCCUCACAGCUCCUGGUGCCAGCCUGGUCUAAGACUGACUUUCCUCAAUAGGGGAGGAGCUUUCUUCUCUAUCAAAAAUGGGGAGUCUCCUUGCUCCCUGCUAGAACCUCUAAACAAGCUCUUGAGAACUAAGUGUUACAACCAGAAGAAUGGAAAGUUAAGCUCCAUCUAUGUAUAAUAUGUCAAAAUACAUUCUACUGU